GCCUACGGGGGGCAGCAGUGAGGAAUAUUGGUCAAUGGCCGGAAGGCUGAACCAGCCAAGCCGCGUGAAGGACGAAGGUGCCAAGCAUUGUAAACUUCUUUUGUCAAGGGACAAAAUCAGGCUCGAGAGCCUGACCGAGGGUACUUGAAGAAAAAGCAUCGGCUAACUCCGUGCCAGCAGCCGCGGUAAUACGGAGGAUGCGAGCGUUAUCCGGAUUUAUUGGGUUUAAAGGGUGCGUAGGCGGGCUGUUAAGUCAGCGGUAAAAGCCCGGGGCUCAACCUCGGCGAGCCGUUGAAACUGGCUGG
rnacentral:rRNA from 1 species